GACGAACGCUGGCGGCGUGCUUAACACAUGCAAGUCGAACGGAAAGGCCCUGCUUGCAGGGUGCUCGAGUGGCGAAUGGGUGAGUAACACGUGGGUGAUCUGCCCCUUACUUUGGGAUAAGCCUGGGAAACUGGGUCUAAUACUGGAUAGGACCAUGCUGUAGGUGGUGUGGUGGAAAGAUUAGUUUCGGUUAGGGAUGAGCUCGCGGCCUAUCAGCUUGUUGGUGGGGUAAUGGCCUACCAAGGCGUCGACGGGUAGCCGGCCUGAGAGGGUGGACGGCCACAUUGGGACUGAGAUACGGCCCAGACUCCUACGGGAGGCAGCAGUGGGGAAGAUUGCACAAUGGGCGCAAGCCGGAUGCAGCGACGCCGCGUGGGGGAUGACGGCCUUCGGGUUGUAAACUCCUUUCAGCCAUGACGAAGCCCUUGUGGUGACGGUAGUGGUAGAAGAAGCACCGGCUAACUACGUG
rnacentral:rRNA from 1 species